rnacentral:misc_RNA from 1 species
GGCAAAUUUAUCCUUCAAUUGGAGAACUGAGUGAUUGAGAGUGGGAGAGAUUAGACGGACAGCCUAAUCGAAUUGUUGGUUUCAAUCCGAUUCGAAUUAUUGGCGUUUAUCUUUCUUAUCUUGCUUUUGAGUACUUGAGGUAUUGAUCCAUACAGGUUCAGCACACUGCAUGAUCAACAAGAAAGAGUCAGAGUUUUAAAAUUAUGACAUUUGAGAACUGACGCUUCCCAUUGUUAAGGUAUGACCAGAAGAUGUGAACUUCUGUACAAAAUCAGCACUUACGUGGAUGUGGAAUCUAUACUUAUAUGAUGCCUGAGAAUGCUGGCUGAGAAGACAUAGCCCAAUUCGCUCUCUUCAUGUGCUGUGAAUUUACAUCAUUCUUGAUUCUCUCUGGACACUUCUGUAUAUUUUAACUUGGUUCAGCACAACACAAAAGAAAAACAAGAAAUGGAUUUCAACGAAGUUAUUUUGUUGUUGUGCUGCAAUUGAAGUAUAUAAAAAGAUUUUAGUUUACAAGAAGCAAUGAAUUACAUCCUUAAGCCUUCAUCCAGUCAAUAAAAUUCUUGAAAAUCUUGCUAGAAUAACCAUCUUCUCUGACAUUUCUCAUUGCUAUCUCCUUGAGUUCUGAAGCCCUUGCCUUCAAUUUUUCAUUUCCCAGGACUUGCUCCACCUUGUUCUUAAUUUCUUCUUGCGUGAUGAUCCCACUCUUGUCCCCG